GUGGGGAAUUUUGGACAAUGGGCGCAAGCCUGAUCCAGCAAUGCCGCGUGCAGGAAGAAGGCCUUCGGGUUGUAAACUGCUUUUGUACGGAACGAAACGGCUCUGGUUAAUACCUGGGGCUAAUGACGGUACCGUAAGAAUAAGCACCGGCUAACUACGUGCCAGCAGCCGCGGUAAUACGUAGGGUGCAAGCGUUAAUCGGAAUUACUGGGCGUAAAGCGUGCGCAGGCGGUUUUGUAAGACAGGCGUGAAAUCCCCGGGCUCAACCUGGGAAUGGCGCUUGUGACUGCAAGGCUGGAGUGCGGCAGAGGGGGAUGGAAUUCCGCGUGUAGCAGUGAAAUGCGUAGAUAUGCGGAGGAACACCGAUGGCGAAGGCAAUCCCCUGGGCCUGCACUGACGCUCAUGCACGAAAGCGUGGGGAGCAAACAGGAUUAGAUACCCUUGUAGUCC
rnacentral:rRNA from 1 species